CAUAAUCAGUGAUUUUCAAUGUUUUCCUGAAUGUGUAAAUUCAAAAAAAGUGACAAUUUCCUUUUAAUAUCAGAAAACUACGUACAUGUAUUUUUAUAUGUUUGGAGCUCAAUAAUAAAAUACAGGCAUUGCCAUUUGCAGGAGAUCUCCAUUUGGUGGUUGUUAUAAAUGUAUAAUAUAGUUUUGUAUGAUUCUUCUUGCAGUUUAUUUUGUAACGUCUUCUACUGUGUUGCUGUUUGCUAUUAUAGUGUUUAAAGAGAUGAUCCGCCUGUGGUAUCUUUAUAUAAAAAAAUUUACAACCUGACAAAAUUGAAUGGCC